GUAGCAAAAAGCUUUGAUUUCUCAGUCACCACCUUACCAGUACAGACUUUGGCUUCCCUUUCCUCGAUAAAAGGUUGAAAAAUUCUUUACAAGUUAAACUGGCUUUCAUGAUCUUGUUUUUGUUGUGUAUUCCUUCUCCCGAGUCUUUCUUUCUGACAUCGCUCAGUUACCACUGGCGGAUACCAUCACGCUCUCACAAGCACGCGUGAUACGCUGCAGCACGGUGGCAGAAUCCAAUGUUGGGCAACAUUCUUCUCUUUUGGCAGUCGAGCCUUGAGACCACAACAGUACUACAGAAGAAGUCGAGGAAACAAAAAGCUUGGCAUGGGCAGAUAAAAAUGACAAUUUGUUUUCAUU